AAUUACACAUUUAAGCAAGAACAUUUUUUCCUUCUAUCUAUUGUAGGUCUCCUACUACUCAUUUCUUGUAGCUGUCUGAUACGCAUGUUUGACCACAGCGCGUCUGCUCGACGCAUGAAGAGACGCAGCCCAUAUACUUUACGCCACCAUCCGCAAUCAUCCGGAUGUUAAUCGGUUGGAAACUGAAGUGAAAAGAGACUGUCAUGACUUGUUGGAGCAACAUUCGCACCCAAAUGAUCAAAUGGUUGCAGAGCUUUACAUUUAUGAACACUUGGAGACUCUGCCGUGUCGCAGGUUAUAAUUUAAACAGUUGGACCAAGUUGCCGACAGUGGGAAAUGGUGUACAUCAGACCUACAACUAUAGAUAGUUCCGUGUCCCAUUAUGACCCAGUUCGUCGCCGUUAAUACUGAACGUGUGUUGCCAACCGACUCUUGAGGUGACAACUAUUCAACUAGAAUAUCUGGCAGCAUCCUCAAUGCAGUGUUUCGUCGGCAUCAACCAAUAACGGUAGUGAUCCAGCAUCAUCAUCCACCUCUCAUCCUUCCGGCGGUAGAUACGAAUUGCCUCAGCAGCAACAGUCUGGUCCAUCAACUCCAUUCCGUUGGUGGGGAAUACGUUGGAUCAACUAGUCAAGGAUCAUCUGCAGGAUAUCAGAACUCCGAUCUUUCGAUGUGCUUCGGUGAAGAGCAGCUGAAAAGGUGACGCAAAGUCUCAUCACGGCCAUUCUCCAGCGCCUGAGGAAAAUGAAACCUGAAACGAAAUGAACCCUACCUAUCCACUGAUCACAUUCCAUCUCCAAAAGGACUGCAUUGCCACACUAAACCGUUUAACAGUCUGCCAGUCUCUACUUGACAAAGCUGAAAUGUCAACGAAUGUUACGAAGCAGUAGAACAUGAGUUGACCACAAUUCGGUAAAUGUCUCGCUUUUCCUGGUUUAACUUUGCUCUACCCACCGUCCAAACACUAACAACUCACUACAAUUUAACGAUGAACAACUCGUUGGAUUUAACUCAAAUUAUUUUCGUGACAAAAGUUGCGAAAUAAAACAAACAAACUGCCAUCCGCAACUCAUGUUCAGCAGUUCAACACUGGCGCUUGUCUGUUCUCUGUUGCCAACUGAAAUCCCCGCAAUUUCUCCAGUCUCCACUGCACACAACGUUACGCGCUUCCACUUGAAUGUCCUACGGCUAGUUAUACAAAAGAGAGAGGAAAGAAUAUCUAAAUUUCUUUACCUAUCAGUCUUGGGUUUUUUACCUAUUCAAGUCCAUUUCGAGCUGUUUAAGGCGCGCAGUUUUCACAUUUAAAAAUUUGGAUUGCUCAUUGGUAAAGGCAAAUUAAGGAACUGCUCUCACACAUCUUUCUACAGCAUAUUAAGCUGCAGUUGGAUCGACAUCUGGUCAUCCUCAAAUAAGCCGGAUUCACUGACUAGAAAUUUAAUCCCGAUUUUCGGGAACUGUAGAAAACGCUGUACGUCAAGUUUUGUAUCAACUCAAUAAAAAUGCAACGGCAGCCCGUCAUACUCCUAGAAGUUCACCUGAGUUACUCCGGAGAAAAUGCCACUCUUCAAUAACGCUGUGGGAGAUAUUCCUGUUGCAGAGGAUCUAGAAUGGGCAGACUGCAGUGUCAAGACCUACAGUAUCAACUUCGAACAGCACGAAAGAAAUGUUGGCUUCAGUGUUACAACGCAUUUACCGAUGGACGAGUGAUUCGAUUAUUUCUGGUAUAUACUAGGAUCACGUCUGAAGGACAUUGAAAGGCAAG